CACUCUAAUAGCUCAUGUGAGAGAGGCAUUUAUUUGAUGAUGUCAUUGAUCCAACUGGACACUGUGAGCCUGACUGGGAAAACACUGGCUCCCAAUUUCAAUCCUUGUGGUCUGCUGAAGUCAGAGAAGUCAUGUGCUGAGCUCUUUGUGCUUAGCACAUUUGUGCAUUUCCAGGCCUCCUCUGCAUCUGAGCAAAGACUGGAUGGCAGGAGCUCAAGCAGUCAUCUUGAACUAUGAGGUAGAAGCCUUGUCCAUAAGGAUGACACAGCAAAAAGAUGAAGUGUGUGGGUCUCGCCUAUGAACAUCCCGCCUCUGCAUUGACUUACUGUGGACACCUAUUACCAGUGAGAGAAAAACUUCAUCGCUAUUAUUUUAGGUUCUCAGUAUCUCAAGUGAAAUAAUGAAUUAAAAAUGAUAAACCCAUCUCUGUUAGGUUUUCCCUAUAAAACUUUCAUUGUCUACAUAAUCUUAUACUUCAGAGAGAGUGCUUGGGCUAUAUUUUAGUGUUAUAAAAAUCAUGUUACAAUGAUAGGGCCUAGCACUAGCAUGGAACGUGGUAGAUCACUUUUUUAAAUAAAUGAAUAUUUUCUGUUCUUUAUAAUUAUC
rnacentral:lncRNA from 10 species